rnacentral:rRNA from 1 species
CUAUUAUUUUAAGUGUUAAUUUUACUUACCUGGGUACUAUUAGUUAAGAUCUUUAAACCCAAAGAAUUUGGCGGUAUCUCAUUCCAUUCAGAGGAACCUACCCCGUAAUUGAUAAUACACGAUUAACUUUACUUAAUUUAUUUGUUUGUAUAUCUCCGUUAUCAGAAAAUCUUAUUGGAGUUAUAAUUUUCUUGAUUUAUAAUUGUAAAGUAUUUCAGGUCAAGGUGCAGCUUAUAAUUAAGAGGAGGUGGGUUACAAUAAAUUUUUGUUUAUUAUGGAUUUAAUGGUGAAAUACCAAUAAUAAAGGUGGAUUUGAUAGUAAUUUAAUUUAGUUAAUUUAAUUGAUAUUGGCUCUGAGGUGUGUACACAUCGCCCC